UACAGAGGGGGCAAGCGUUGUUCGGAAUUACUGGGCGUAAAGGGCGCGUAGGCGGCCUGCUAAGUCGAACGUGAAAUCCCUCGGCUUAACCGAGGAACUGCCUGCCAGACUGUGAGGCUUGAGACCGGGAGAGGUGAGUGGAAUUCCCAGUGUAGCGGUGAAAUGCGUAGAUAUUGGGAGGAACACCAGUGGCGAAGGCGGCUCACUGGACCGGAACUGACGCUGAGGCGCGAAAGCGUGGGGAGCAAACAGG
rnacentral:rRNA from 1 species